AAUGUAGAUUAUGGUCGUAUGGCUAAAAUACUCGUUCGGAGGGCAGGCUCUACUGAUGAAUUCACUCGGUUGACGUCUAUCACAUGGAUCAACGAGUUUGUGAAGCUUGGUGGGGAACAACUUGUUCC